rnacentral:rRNA from 1 species
CCUACGGGUGGCAGCAGUGGGGAAUAUUGGGCAAUGGGCGCAAGCCUGACCCAGCAACGCCGCGUGAAGGAAGAAGGCUUUCGGGUUGUAAACUUCUUUUAAGAGGGAAGAGCAGAAGACGGUACCUCUUGAAUAAGCCACGGCUAACUACGUGCCAGCAGCCGCGGUAAUACGUAGGUGGCAAGCGUUGUCCGGAUUUACUGGGUGUAAAGGGCGUGCAGCCGGGAAGACAAGUCAGAUGUGAAAUCUCGGGGCUCAACCGCGGAACGGCAUUUGAAACUGUUUUUCUUGAGUACCGGAGAGGACGGCGGAAUGCGUGGUGUAGCGGUGAAAUGCGUAGAUAUAAGGAAGAACACCAGUGGCGAAGGCGGAUGACUGGACGGCUACUGACGGUGAGGCGCGAAAGUGUGGGGAGCAAACAGGAUUAGAUACCCGGGUAGUC